rnacentral:lncRNA from 1 species
UGGUGAAAAGGAUUACAGCAAUAACAAAAAUUCCAGCUGGGAAUUGGGAAGUGGAAUUAGCAGAGCAGUUGUUCCAACGAGUCAGAAAUGGGACUUGGAAGUUUCUGUCCUUCAAGGAAGGAAAAGGAAGCGUCCGCUGCGAUUUCUUGAGAAGAAAGAGGGAUUUGGUGCCUCCAUGACUUGGAUGGAGCUUGUGUGACAAAAAGGGUUUUCAAGGCUGAAGAACAAACUCCAAACACAAUUCCUUGUCUUGCUGGAUUUGAUUUCAAACCUUAUUUUGCUCCUCAAACACUUUCAGUCGAUCAGGUGUCUGUGUUGUCUCAGAGAGGACGGCAAAAACAGGAGAGGAAAGCUGAAAGGGUUUUCCAGAACAGGAGUCUUCACCUGCACUACUCACCUGUGCUUUGCAUAAUUUGGGUCACACGCACCCAAAAAUCCAUAAAACCUCUGCAGAAUCAACUGAAAUGUUGUGAACCAAUGCUAAAUGGUUAUUUUUUUAAAAAAAACACCUCAAUCAGACAGCUAAAACAAUUUUUUAUUUUUUUUUUUUAAAGUAACAUUCCAGCUGUAACAUUUUUUGCUCCACAUUUCAGUCCCAAAAGCUAUUUUAAAAUAGCACUGAACUGGGGACAUAAUUCACAUCAAGGAUGGGCCUUUACAAGUGAGGAGUUUACAGAGAGGGGAAUUCUCUUCUCUGGUGCAAUGAGUGAGAUCCAAGUGAAGGAAAAACAUUGGCCAGAGGUAAAAUUCUUUCAGGGUUUUGAGAGUUAUUUCUGUUAAAAUGGGUUUCUUGCGGUAACAUUUAGAAAUUCAAAGGAGUUAUCAUCAUCUACAGGUGCAUGAGGUGACAAUUUGCUGGUGUCUUGUGAGGCACAGAGACAUAAUGGGCAGAAAUUGGGAGAACUUUUGUACAUCAGGAGGAAUUUCUUGAUGGAAAGGGUUGUUAAACCUUGGAAUGGGCUGCCAGGGAGGUGGUGGAGUCCCCAUCCCUGGAGGUGUUCAAGAAUUGACUGGAUGUGGCACUCAGUGUUUUGGGCUGGGUGACAAGGUGGGAUCAAGUCCAAAAACUGGGCUUGAUCUUGGGCCUGAAUGACUCUGUGAUAAGGGUUAGAUUCAAAGUUUAAAAAAUAUAGAAUAAAAGUAAAUGUGUUUGUGCA